rnacentral:rRNA from 1 species
AGUGAACGCUGGCGGUAGGCCUAACACAUGCAAGUCGAACGGCAGCACAGUAAGAGCUUGCUCUUACGGGUGGCGAGUGGCGGACGGGUGAGGAAUACAUCGGAAUCUACUUUUUCGUGGGGGAUAACGUAGGGAAACUUACGCUAAUACCGCAUACGACCUACGGGUGAAAGCAGGGGAUCUUCGGACCUUGCGCGAUUGAAUGAGCCGAUGCCGGAUUAGCUAGUUGGCGGGGUAAAGGCCCACCAAGGCGACGAUCCGUAGCUGGUCUGAGAGGCUGAUCAGCCACACUGGAACGGAGACACGGUCCAGACUCCUACGGGAGGCAGCAGUGGGGAAUAUUGGACAAUGGGCGCAAGCCUGAUCCAGCCAUACCGCGUGGGUGAAGAAGGCCUUCGGGUUGUAAAGCCCUUUUGUUGGGAAAGAAAAGCAGCAGGUUAAUACCCCGCUGUUCUGACGGUACCCAAAGAAUAAGCACCGGCUAACUUCGUG